CAGAAGGGACUAAGCAUUAUGAAGAUGAUUUCAAGUCCACGGACAACAAAUGAAUUGAAUUUUGAGUGAAAAGUAAAAAUUUACACUCUAAAGUUAAAGCUAUAAUGGCAGGAUAUCUAAAAAUGCAAUACUGAGUAUUUUGAAAAGAGAAAGAAAGUGAGAUCUAACCUUUAUAACAAGAAAACAUGCAAGACCAAGAGUAAGCUUUGAAAGAUAAAUUUAUCCCACUUACAUAUAACUGCUGCUUGCUAAAGCUGUCUCUGCCUAGUUAAAAAAGAUUGAUGAAAAAAUGCUAAAUAAUAGAAAUGGAAAAGUAUGCAUUUCAUACAAGUGAAGCAGCAAGCAUGAGAAUAAGCAGAUUGCCUAAUAAUCAAUGUAUGCCUAAAUGGUUGGCAGGGAUAUCUUUUAAAACCAGUGCUCAAAGUCAUGCAAAAGAGAAGAGAUGGCACAGGUCCUUCUAUGCACUAUGCACUAUGUCACUAUGGCAGUGACACUUUUGUUCCUAAAUUAUUUUUGUAACUUGCACUGUAUUGUAAUUCUGUUACUUUCACAAAAUACAUGUGAAAAUUAUGUUGUUUAUCUAGAACACUUAAAGAAUUGUCUGUGAAAGAAAACAUGAUCAGAAAAAGAUCAUUCUAAGUGGCCUGAUUGAAACUGAAGUCUCAAAAAGGGGUUUUGGCCCUUUACCUGAAUGCUACAAAUUUCUGUUUUCAGUCUGCUUAGUUUCCUGGACUAGAAAGCACAGUUACAAAACACUUAUUCAAGGAAAUAUAAUUUUGAUUCCUGCAGCUUAGGAGGCUUCAGCAUAAUUUUCUCAUCUGCUUCUCUAUUUCACUCACUUACUUGAACAACUUUCUCUCCUCUGCUUGAGUUGAAGUAACCUUUCAUCAGCAUCAUUCCAACCAUCUCUUUCUUUCAGCUUCAUCACUACCAGAUGGCAUGGUGUAGUAUUAACAUGUUUACAUUUUAGAUUCUCUCCUCCCACACAGUAGGUACCUGGGACUUGUUUGGCUACAAAAAAAUAGUGGUGGGAAAGUCUCCAUUAUUUCCUAGAGAAAUUUUAGGAGAAGAAUGAAAAAUUCUCUGUAUCUCACAAAACAAAAGAAACAUAUAUUUACUGAACCCUUCUAUAUUGCAUGAAAUUUUAUAAGCUUGCCACAGCUUUGUGUACAAGAGUAGCAGAGAAGGUCUUAUCUAAAAUGCAGUAUAGUUAUGUUUCAGAUGUUUCAGAUUAUGACAUUUCAGCCUUUUCUGGAAUAGAAAUAUGACUUCUGAAUGUCAGUGCCAUUUCAAAAUCAUUUAUUGCUGAGCUCUAAUAAUUUUUUUUUCCUUUAAAGUGUCAUUUUAUUCAUUGCAUAUUCAUUAGGGUCUUGUUCUCAGCCGUAACUUCUAAGACCUAAUCUAACAUGAACAAAACAAUAUUUAAAUCAAAAAAAAUUUGAACUCAGAUUAGAGCACUCAUAUCUUCUUCAAGCUCUUUGCCUUGGUGCCAGGUAAUAUAUUUCUCCUUCUGACAUGAAUACACACAUGGUUUUACUAAGCUAUAUGUGGUAGAUACCUUUGCAUUAUUUCUUUCCCACAUCCAUAUUUAUCAAAAAUCUUUUCAAAAUGCUAAUAUAAUCCUAAAUGUUGGGAAGAAAACAUCAGUUAGAGGGGAAAUUUGAAAGGGUCAGUCUUCAGUUUACUGGUGUUUAUUUCUUCUAAAUGUUGAAUUUUAAUACUUGUUAUUUUUAUCCAGCUUCCUGGCCUUUUGUGACCAUUGUUUGGAGAAAGACAAGUGAACAGCAAAAGACUGGAUGAAAAAGAUUUACAGCAGCUUUUCCCUCGUUAGUUACAUGUAAUUAUAGCAAAGCACUGAGUGGGUACCACUUUGCCAUGCACCUGAAGCAUUUUUUCCUUGACAGUGCACUGAUAGUUUAGUAACACAGCCCCUACUGUGACUGACAGUUGGUUUUGGACUAAAUCAUAUAAAAUUGAAUAGGAGACGGUGGCUAUUGGCUAGUUCAGCCAAAGUCCAUUUGGCAGAGUAGAUUAACCUCCAUGAAGCUCUGCAUUAUUGCACAGCUCCAUGCGAUGCUAGUGUCUGCAGCACAGGUUUACCCUUUAGCUUGGCUACUAAGAGUAGCCAAAGGUAGCACUGUAGAAAAGCAGAGAUUCACUGGAAAGGCUUUCUUUAGCAGCAACAAAGAUUAGAUGUGUGCCAAACACAUCAAUAUGGCAGAUGACCUGACAGAACUGGUAGUUAAAACAAUUUAGUCUUCUCAGGAAUGUUGUUCCUGGGGUAAAAGCUCAAACCUCAGCUCACUCAAAAUAAAAUUAUUCCAGCGCAUCAUUUCUGUAGUUAACACCUUAGGAUGGAAAAAUGAGUAAAUGAAUACUGUUGCUUCAACACUUUUAUCUACUUCAUUUAGUAUUUUCCAAGAGCCAGUUCAAUGCCAUCUGAAUCUGUAAAUUACAAAAAUGAAAAGCAUUUAAGUCUGUUGAUUGGGGAUAAACGCAAAUAGAAUAUUUCUACUGAAGAAGCCAAAUAUGAAGGUAAUCUAAGAAAUUGCAUUAAUGUAAGCUUUUGCCUAGAAUCGCAGAUGAGUCUAGUCAUCAGUCAUCAGGGAGAGAUGAGAAAAUGAACAGGAGAGUAAGAAGAGGUUGAAUGGAAACAUGGUAUAAGUCCUGCCAUCUGACCUCUGCCAGAGCCCAGUGUGGAUGGGAGUACCUGUGUGAGUUUUCCAAACCAAGUUUGUGUUCUUCUCAAGGGUGCCAGGACUUCAAGAUUAGGGCUUCCAGCUGAUCUGCACAGACCCAAGUGAAGGAGGAGAUUGUCAUAUACAGACAUGCUUUACUUUAGACACCUAGACCAGCUGAUAUUCAAGGUCUUUGCAGGAUGGAGGACUCAUUCACUUGCAAAUAAUCUGUCCUGGAAUCUAUAUCCCAGAAGAAACACUGACCAAACAGGGCUCAGCUAUCUGGAAAGUUGAUAGUGGUGUGUACAGACAUCUCCUUGUUAGCUCUGGACUGGGCCAUUUUCAAGAUAGAUGGCUUUAAUCCUAUGAAUAGGAUACUCCAACUCAGAGCAGAAAUAUCCCACAUCAUUUCACAGAGCUUCAAGAUGGAACACCUAUUCUUAUGAUAAUAUGUUUGUUUAGAGAAACCUCCCAAGAUCCUCAGUGGCAGUUUUGCCACCCUGAUCACAAAGAAGAAGUAUCAGAACGUGAAGAGAAAGGUCUGGCAGUCCUGCUGAGCAAGAUGAAAACACAAGAAGAGCUAGAAGACUCACAAAAACAAACAACCCCUCCCAACAGUUUUUUUGGUUUUUUUUUCUUUUUCCCAUUUCUCCAAACUAGAAAUUAGGAGAAGUGUUUGUAUAUUGAGGGCAAUAUCCCUACAUUAUUUCAAGUAUUCUUAUCAAUGCUGAUUAUUUAUUAGAAUAUUAUUUCUUCAUACUUGCCAGGUGUGUCCUCUUAAAGUGACUGAAAUCAAAGGGACAUUAAGGCAAAUUCCCCUGCUUCAGCCCAUUUUCUGGGACAGCUGUAAAGAGCUGUGAGAGAGAGGACAAGUCAGCCCCUGGAGGUGUCUACAUCUGGGCUGCUUGCAGAGGCAAGCAAGGGUCCCAGGAGGUUGGACAAACAUCUCCUCGUACAGGAAGCACAGGGAUCCACAUCUCAAAUGUGCAUGCUGCUGAGCCCUGGACUAGCUGGGGUGGACAGACAGCAGCAGCAUUGUCCACAGAGAGGAGGGACAGAGGGAGAUGCCUGAGCAGUUCCUGGGGUGAGAUCCAAGAGGAGCAGGGACUGGGGCUCUGGAGGCAGACUCAGGCACAGGUGUCCGCAACCAGAGUGCCGGAGGGAGGGUCACCUCGCCAGCGUGGGUCCAGAUGGCAUUGCACAUGGCUCUCCUCUUGCCGGAGCCGUGUCUACUGAGGCAGCACCUAAGGUCACGGCAAGCCUUGGCAGAGACCUUGCAGACCUCCCUCUCCCCGCACAGUUGCUUGGAUUUGGAAGGCCAGUGGGUUUGCGAAUGACAAGCUGCUCUCCCCAAGCUGGGGAGAGCUACCUGGUGACCUUCCAGAAGACAGUGCCUACCAGCCUUUGCCCUGGCAUGAGCCACUUGCCUGCUGCAGGAAAAAUAAAGAAAAAGCAAAGCAAUACACAGUGGUGCUCUUCCACCUAUCCUAAAAUUACAGGUGGAGGCUCAGUCAUUCCUUACCUAGAAGACCACUGCAAUAUUAUUUGGCCUGUGAUAAGCACCCAGAGCAGUUGAGAAUAUUGGGCCUGGGCUCAGAGGUAGCAGCUCUCACCAGCCAGUUACGGUGUACCAGGCACUGGUGCUUGUCAAGGGGCCUUGGAUGGUAGAUAUGGUGCCUGAUCAGCUGGUUUUCAACAUUUUCUACUCUAGCCUGGAGCACUGUGUUCUUCCUCCCUGCCUUCUCCAACCCUGUGAGUGGCCAUGUACUGCAGCAAGCAUGCAUAUUGGCGGGACCUUCAUGUGGGAUCAAGUGUUAGGGUGGCUUUAACAAGGAUACCACAGUGACUAUGGGACUGGGGACAAGUCCAAUGACAUGGCACACAGUGUGUGCCCCAGGCAUGACAUUGAAACAGUCCAGGACACUGCCAGGGUACCUCUUUCAUGAAGAAAUGAUAGGAGUCAGAGGAGAUGGUCCUUUCUGGGUCACCAAUAGUUAAAGAUACCUUGAGAUUGACAUGCAGCGACAGAAUAGUCAAACUUCUGCCCAGAAACAUGAACUCCAGGAGUCUUGUGCCUAAUAUAUGGGUUUUAUGGACCUUUUUUACAAGUUCAAAGAGCAUGAAAAUAUGACCUAAAUAUAAUGAAUACAGCCACAGCGAUACUAUAAAUCACUCAAGCUGAAGCAGCAGUACUGUGCUGGAUGGUGCUAUGCACUUCAGUAAAGUAUUAAUAUAAUAAGAGGUCUACCAGUUUAGCUUAUAAAACAUUCCUCAUUCUCAUCCUUGAGUUUAAUUUGUUGUUGAGGCACAUGCCACAGGUUGAGCAUUUCAGCUCAUUUAAGGAGUUAUGACCCAGCACCACACCAUGGCUACCGUAUUCCAAAAGACUGAACAUCACUGUUAAUCACAGCUUCCCAGCAUAUUCAGAGAGGGAAUACCAUAAAAUUGUUUAGUAAACACUGCAUCUGCUUUGAAUAAAGAUGAAAGUCCAAUUUGAAAUAUUUGAAAGUAAUUUUUAAAGAAAAAAGAAAAGUCAUAAAUUCUUAUUACAUGUUUCCACAAAAUCCUUUUCUGCUGCUAUUACAGUGUACCUUCCUGGGAUAAAUGUGUGGUUUACAGCAUCUACAUUACAAUGUAUAACUUUUAGCCCUCACUCAUUUGAUGCUGUAAGACAUGCAGAGACUUUUUUUUUUUCUCUUCAAUCUUCCUUUGGAUGUGAUUUCUUAAGGCAUUUCUACUUGGGGAAAGUUUAGCAGCAUAGCAAUUCCGGGAUAACUACUCUGUGAUAGCUCCCUGUGGACACUUCAUUGCAAUGAAAAAAAAGACUUUAUUUGGGAAUAAUUACCAUGCAUUGUGACUAGUGGAAUAAUUAUUCUAAAAUAAAAACCAGCCUAAUUCCAAGAUAAAGUAUAUACACCCAUGCAGGAGAUUUUGUAUGUUUGCUUAGGGUUUUUUACCAAUGAAUAUGGAUUCUGCACAAGAGUAGCGAGAACACUUUCUUUUUCCCCUAGAAUAGCAAUGUUAGUCCAUUUUUACUUAUAGAUAAGGUUAUGAUAUUGAAUUAAAUAA